AACGAACGCUGGCGGCAUGCCUAACACAUGCAAGUCGAACGAGACCUUCGGGUCUAGUGGCGCACGGGUGCGUAACGCGUGGGAACCUGCCCUUAGGUUCGGAAUAACUCCCCGAAAGGGGUGCUAAUACCGGAUAAUGUCUUCGGACCAAAGAUUUAUCGCCUUUGGAUGGGCCCGCGUUGGAUUAGCUAGUUGGAAGGGUAAAGGCCUACCAAGGCGACGAUCGAUAGCUGGUCUGUGAGGAUGAUAAGCCACACUGGGACUGAGACACGGCCCAGACUCUGACGGAAUGCAGCAGUGGGGAAUGUUGCACAAGGGGUGAAGUCCUGAUGCAGCGAUGCCGCGUGAGUGAAGAAAUAAUUGGGGAUGUAAAGCUCUAUCAGCAGGGAAGAAAAUGAGGGUACCUGAGUAAGAAGCGCCGGCUAACUACGUG
rnacentral:rRNA from 1 species